rnacentral:rRNA from 1 species
AGUUUGGCUCAGUCACCCUGAACAUGCCCGAUCUCGUCUGAUCUCAGAAGCCAAGCAGGGUCGGGCCUGGUUAGUGCUUGGAUGGGAGAUAUACAAAUAUUUAAGUCUAGGAGAAUCAUAGUU